rnacentral:rRNA from 1 species
UCGAUUGAGUUUGAUCAUGGCUCAGAACGAACGCUGGCGGCAUGCCUAACACAUGCAAGUCGAACGAGACCUUCGGGUCUAGUGGCGCACGGGUGCGUAACGCGUGGGAAUCUGCCCUUCGGUACGGAAUAACUCAGGGAAACUUGUGCUAAUACCGUAUGAUGUCUUCGGACCAAAGAUUUAUCGCCGAGGGAUGAGCCCGCGUAGGAUUAGCUAGUUGGUGGGGUAAAGGCCUACCAAGGCGACGAUCCUUAGCUGGUCUGAGAGGAUGAUCAGCCACACUGGGACUGAGACACGGCCCAGACUCCUACGGGAGGCAGCAGUGGGGAAUAUUGGACAAUGGGCGAAAGCCUGAUCCAGCAAUGCCGCGUGAGUGAAGAAGGCCUUCGGGUUGUAAAGCUCUUUUACCCGGGAAGAUAAUGACUGUACCGGGAGAAUAAGCCCCGGCUAACUCCGUGCCAGCAGCCGCGGUAAUACGGAGGGGGCUAGCGUUGUUCGGAAUUACUGGGCGUAAAGCGUACGUAGGCGGCUUUUUAAGUCAGAGGUGAAAUCCCGGUGCUCAACACCGGAACUGCCUUUGAGACUGGAUCGCUUGAUCACGGGAGAGGUGAGUGGAAUUCCGAGUGUAGAGGUGAAAUUCGUAGAUAUUCGGAAGAACACCAGUGGCGAAGG